GACGAACGCUGGCGGCGUGCCUAAUACAUGCAAGUAGAACGCUGAAGCGAGGAGCUUACUCUUCUUGGAUGAGUUGCGAACGGGUGAGUAACGCGUAGGUAACCUGCCUUGUAGCGGGGGAUAACUAUUGGAAACGAUAGCUAAUACCGCAUAACAAUGGAUGACACAUGUCAUUUAUUUGAAAGGGGCAAUUGCUCCACUACAAGAUGGACCUGCGUUGUAUUAGCUAGUAGGUGAGGUAAUGGCUCACCUAGGCGACGAUACAUAGCCGACCUGAGAGGGUGAGCGGCCACACUGGGACUGAGACACGGCCCAGACGCCUACGGGAGGCAGCAGUAGGGAAUCGUCGGCAAUGGGGGCAACCCUGACCGAGCAACGCCGCGUGAGUGAAGAAGGUUUUCGGAUCGUAAAGCUCUGUUGUAAGUCAAGAACGGGUGUGAGAGUGGAAAGUUCACACUGUGACGGUAGCUUACCAGAAAGGGACGGCUAACUACGUG
rnacentral:rRNA from 1 species